rnacentral:rRNA from 1 species
CUACGGGGUGCUCCAGUGAGGAAUAUUGCACAAUGGGGGGAACCCUGAUGCAGCAACGCCGCGUGGAGGAUGACGCAUUUCGGUGUGUAAACUCCUUUUAUAUGUCAAGAAAAUGACGGUAGCAUAUGAAUAAGCACCGGCUAACUCCGUGCCAGCAGCCGCGGUAAUACGGAGGGGUGCAAGCGUUACUCGGAAUCACUGGGCGUAAAGGACGCGUAGGCGGGUUGGAAAGUCAGGUGUGAAAUCCUACAGCUUAACUGUAGAACUGCACUUGAAACUUCUAAUCUAGAGUAUGGGAGGGGGAGAUGGAAUUAGUGGUGUAGGGGUAAAAUCCGUAGAUAUCACUAGGAAUACCUAAAGCGAAGGCGAUCUCCUGGAACAUUACUGACGCUAAGGCGUGAAAGCGUGGGGAGCAAACAGGAUUAGAUACCCUAGUAGUC